AUGUGUGUUUGUUGUUUGCAGUGAGCCGCAGUCAAUGUGCUAUGUUGAGACUGCUAAUCUGGAUGGUGAAACAAAUCUGAAGAUCAGACAGGGUUUACCGCAGUCUGAGCAUCUCACGGAUGCCAGAAGUGUAUUGAACACUGCUGGUAAUGUUGACUGUGAAGCGCCAAACAACCGUCUUUAUCAGUUUGUUGGUAACUUGAUACUGAAAGGACGUGGUGAGCGCCCCAAUGCUGUGCUGGCCUUGUCACCGGAUCAAAUAUUACUACGUGGUGCACAGCUACGUAAUACCGAGUGGGUGUUAGGUAAGUGGGCGUGGG